GAGGUUUUGAGAUGGAAGGAAUUCCAUACAACAUACCUUCUGUGCAUUUAGUGAACAUCAAAAAUCAGCAUAUUCUAACUGCAAUGUUUCUUGUUGCAGUUUUCUGGAAAGACAGUUUAUCCUGAAAUGUCAGCACACAGAAAGAUGGAGAAAGUGAAUGCUGAUUUGAAGAGCUUGUGUCUGCAAACACGGUGUGGGAGAGGCAAUGCCUGAAUCACCAGGAAACAGCAAUUACAUCUGCUGUAAAAUCAUCUCCCAUGCAGAGAGAAUCAAGAAGAAGAGCAGAGAGAUAUAUCUGUGCACAGUGGGUCAGCUGGCACAAGAACCAAAAGCUGAGUCCUGGAAAUUAGUUCAGCCAAGAGUGCCCAUAGUGGGAUAGGCUGUGCAGCCCAAUCUUCUGUGUUAACAUACCCUGAGGUUACUUUGGCUUGUAUUUGCUGCUGAAGGGAGCAUUACCUAACAGAGGCUCUAAACUUCGUAGAUCAGAUGCACCUCCAACCACACUGUGGGGACAGUGUCAUCUGACAGUGACUGUGAAAAGGAUUGGAAG